UUUAUAGAAAGACUUUGGAGAAGUUGAAGGAGCGGAACUCCAAAUUAAAAUAGAAACGGCUGCAGAAUUUCCUGUAAUCCUUGCAAGAAGUUUAUCGCUUCAGAGUAGAUUCAAUUCAACGAUUCACAUAAACCCUACUAAUCCACAGGCAUUGGAGCUCAUCAACUGGAAAAAAAGAAACAAAGACAUGCUUCAAGCUUUGCAUUGGAGAACUUCUCUGGGUCAUCGACGUCUCUCACAAUGGCUCCAGCUCAACAAUAAUUUAUCACUAUUGAAGAAAUUUCAUUUGAA